CCUACGAGGCGCAGCAGUGAGGAAUAUUGGUCAAUGGACGGAAGUCUGAACCAGCCAUGCCGCGUGCAGGAAGACGGCUCUAUGAGUUGUAAACUGCUUUUGUACUAGGGUAAACCUGAAUACGUGUAUUCAGCUGAAAGUACUGUACGAAUAAGGAUCGGCUAACUCCGUGCCAGCAGCCGCGGUAAUACGGAGGAUCCAAGCGUUAUCCGGAUUUAUUGGGUUUAAAGGGUGCGUAGGCGGAUUGAUAAGUUAGAGGUGAAAUGGCCGAGCUUAACUCGGGAACUGCCUCUAAUACUGUUGAUCUAGAGAGUAGAUGCGGUAGGCGGAAUGUAUGGUGUAGCGGGGAAAUGCUUAGAGAUCAUACAGAACACCGAUUGCGAAGGCAGCUUACCAAUCUAUAUCUGACGUUGAGGCACGAAAGCGUGGGGAGCAAACAGGAUUAGAUACCCGGGUAGUC
rnacentral:rRNA from 1 species